rnacentral:tRNA from 1 species
GCCUUCGUGGUGUAGUGGUUCAGCACGCCGGGCCGUUAUUCCAGAGAUCCGUGGUUCGAUUCCCGGCGAAGGCG